rnacentral:lncRNA from 1 species
CAUUUUCUCUGAACUAAUACACAUUAUUGUUUAGGAGCCAUAUGAAGCCCGACUAAGGGUGUGGGAUUUUUCGCUGUGUUAAAGUCCCAUUGGUGGCCUUGUGCUGUUUUCUGUUAUUUGGUCGGGUUGUUGUCUCUUUGACACAUUCCCCAAUUCCAUUCUCAAUUUAAUUGACUUCCCGACUUACCUUACUUAAGUUAAACUAUUCUGAAGUUUUGAUUUGAAGUUAAUUUUGACAAUUUUAGGGUGAUCUGUAUAUGAUCAAUGUAAUAAAAAAAAAAUGUGCAAAAUAUUAAAGCAUCCUAUAUACACACAUGUACACUAUUAUUAAGAAGGGAAUCCUAAAUACACAUCCCCUUUUGUCAAACAAC